rnacentral:rRNA from 1 species
UCGGGAAUUUUGGGCAAUGGGCGAAAGCCUGACCCAGCAACGCCGCGUGAGGGAUGAAGUAUUUCGGUAUGUAAACCUCGAAAGAAUGGGAAGAAUAAAUGACGGUACCAUUUAUAAGCUCCGGCUAACUACGUGCCAGCAGCCGCGGUAAUACGUAGGGAGCAAGCGUUGUUCGGAUUUACUGGGCGUAAAGGGCGCGUAGGCGGCGCGGUAAGCCACUUGUGAAAUCUCUGAGCUUAACCCAGAACGGCCAAGUGAUACUGCUGUGCUAGAGUGCGGAAGAGGCAACCGGAAUUCGUGGUGUAGCGGUGAAAUGCGUAGAUAUCAAGAGGAACACCUGAGGCGAAGGCGGGUUGCUGGGCCGACACUGACGCUGAUGCGCGAAAGCCAGGGGAGCAAACG